rnacentral:lncRNA from 1 species
AUUCACUUUGUUACAUUCUUCCCUCCUUAAAAAGAGUUUCGUCCUCGAAACUCACUCAUUCAUAACUCCAAUUCACCCCUCAAUUCAACUCAUUACUUAAUCGAGGGUUCCAAUGCACUUUCGCACGCCGGAGUGGCCUUUUCCUCAUCGGAAUCAUCCAAAGGCCCACUACGGAAGAUGUGAGACCAAAUUCACUCACAUUCGCCAAAGAUAACCUCGAAAGUGCAUUAUGGCUUCACGAGCCUCGGUGGUAGUGCAAGUCAAUAUUCAUGACUUCACACACUCUAGCACCACCCGCUGUUAAGCUUAAGAAGGAUUCAACCCCUCACAGUUCUAUUAAACAUCACCAUCCCUCGAGAUCA